AGAGUUUGAUCCUGGCUCAGAUUGAACGCUAGCGGGAUGCUUUACACAUGCAAGUCGGACGGCAGCACGAAGAGCUUGCUCUUUGGUGGCGAGUGGCGAACGGGUGAGUAAUGUAUCGGAACGUGCCCAGUAGCGGGGGAUAACUACGCGAAAGCGUGGCUAAUACCGCAUACGCCCUACGGGGGAAAGGGGGGGAUCGCAAGACCUCUCACUAUUGGAGCGGCCGAUAUCGGAUUAGCUAGUUGGUGGGGUAAAGGCCUACCAAGGCGACGAUCCGUAGCUGGUUUGAGAGGACGACCAGCCACACUGGGACUGAGACACGGCCCAGACUCCUACGGGAGGCAGCAGUGGGGAAUUUUGGACAAUGGGGGCAACUCUGAUCCAGCCAUCCCGCGUGUGCGAUGAAGGCCUU
rnacentral:rRNA from 1 species